UGUAUUUCUGAGGGAGACUGUUGUUGCGCAGGUUCAUCAUGCUCCUCGUCAUCAAGAUAUGAUGGUGCUGGAGGUUGAGAUGGCUCAACUGAUUUUUCCUUCCAAUCCCAUGCUCCAUGUUCAUCAAAGGUGACAUCUCUACUGACAAUAACCUUUUAGCUGUCUGGAUUAUAUAGCUUGUACCCUUUUGUCUGUCGACUGUAGCCAACAAAUAUGCUCUU
rnacentral:lncRNA from 1 species